rnacentral:misc_RNA from 1 species
AACGCAUAUUGCACUCUCUGGUAAUCCGGAGAGUAUGCCUGUUUGAGGGUCAGUAAAUAAUAAUUAUCAUGAAUCUCUGAUUUAUGGAAUUGGGCUUUUAUUUCGAUAGAUCUAUGGCCUUAAAUUUUACGUUAUGGGCUUGUCAUAUAAAAACCGAUCUAAAGGAGCAAUUAAACAUUCUCUCAUUAGGCGGAUUUUUACAAGCUGUUAUGAUCUUUGGUUGCUUUCAGCAUUUUUACGAGUGCGAAACCAAGAUCGUAAGCUCACUCUAACAAUGACCUCAAAUCAGGCAAGAAUACCCGCUGAACUUAA